rnacentral:lncRNA from 1 species
GCCAUGGUGGUAUUAAUAACUUGGAAGAUCCUGGAUUACUGUGAUACUUUUUCUUGCUAUUCUUGCGUUAUGUGUUUUGUAGAUUAAUGAAACCCCACCCAUUCUGAGUUGUGGAGCUUUGGACUGGCUCAACUUGGAUGGAAGUUGCACCCAUUCUUCUCACUAUGUCCUUUCUUCUCUUGACUGUCAAAAAUGCAGAAACUGUAAAGAAAACAAAUGUUCUACUGAACUAAGCAGAGAAAUAGAUGCUGUGCAUGAAGAGUACAAGCAGAAACUGAGAGACCAGGAAGUUUUCCACAGAAAACAAAUUCAACGGCAGCAUAUCUACGUUGAGGAUUUAAAGCAGCAGAUCCUGAGAGGACAGAUCAGAGCAGAGCGGGAACUAGAAAAUGACCAAGCACUAAUCAACCAGCAGAUCCAAGAAAGUGGGUACCUGCCUUGUUUCCUUUCUCUCUUUUCCUUCCAUUAUUGCGCUUUCAUCCCCUUGAUGUUUUGUCCUAGUUAUGCUUU